UUUGAUGUUUUUUUAUAUGAUAGUGCAUGUAAUUUAAAAGUAUGAACCAAAUUAGCGUUAGUUGUAGGUUCUGUUGUCAUGUUUUUGUAACUUAGCUGGAGCAGACUCGCGUCGACGUUUAAGCGCGCAAAUUUGAAUGAAAAGACGUUGGUUGUAGUGUUAAUUAUACCGUAUUAAGUUAACUGUGAGAUGUCUGAUUAGAUACACCGUCGAACAUUUAACUUUAGCUUUACUUAAAGCUUAUCUUAGUUACUCUAACAGCGUUCUCUCUUUUACCACAGCAUUUUCUACAUUGACCGACAAUAAAUAAAGUUAUAAGGUGCUUCUUGGGCAUCAACCCAGAGACGGGCACAAAAUCUAAGAGGCAGAGAGGUCACAUGAACCAGCAAGUCUGCACUCUUAUCAGGAAGCUCAUUGACUUCGAAUGGAUGUCAAUCUAAUUGGAUAGAACCCACACUAUGCAGGUGCCAGCUGCGAGGGAAGGAGCGAGACACCUGCGACCCUCUCUAUUCCCACCUUUUUGUCUUUUCUUACAUCUCUCUCCCUCACUCUCUCUUCUCUGUCUCCUUCUUUCUCUUUUGACACACAUUCCUGUUACCCAGUGUCAAUCCCUGUUGCCCAGUGUUUUAUUCAUGUAAUUAAAUUGUAUUUUACUUCUAAAAAAUAAAAGUUAUGUCACUGUUUU